UCCCUCCUGUAUUAUUAUUAUUAUUUACAUUUUGAUUCAUAUCAACGGAAAAUAUACGGAACGGAGAAAAUAUUGCAAAAAUAUUUUCUUCAGAAAUAUUUUCUGAAGAUUCUGAAACCAAAUGUAUCAAAACAAAACAACAUCAAAGCUGUGAUCGUGUAUUCACGAUAAGUAGGAGAUGAGCGCAAAAUUUUCCAAAACCUACUUACAAAGAUGGAAAUAUUUUUAUCGUUAAUUAUUUCUAUACUGUUUCAUAAAUUAUUCAUGUAUUUCAUAGAGAAAUAGUAAACAUAGUUAAACAACUCAAGGAGAAAAUAUCGAGAGAGAGAGAGAGAGAGAGAGAGAGAGAGAGAGAGAGAGAGAGAGAGAGAGAGAGAGAGAGAGAGAGAGAGACAAUGAAAAGGAAAUGGUAAGAAGCGAAGUGAAAUUGGAAGCAAACGUUCGAUCUUUGUUAUCGAUUGAAUAGUUCGAGUCUGGUGACAAAUGAGGAAACUAGGAUGGCAGCCCUGAGUCGCGCUGCUAGCCCCUAUCAAGAUGGACUACAUCCAUAAUACAUUAAUGGUCGCGUGCCUCGCACGAGAGUCACGGUGGAAGGAACGAGGAAUAAAAGGCGGAGUGGGCGAAGGUCGGGGAAAAAUUCAACCGAUAGGCUUCGAGGAAACGGAAUAACGGGGACACUCCGAGAAUAAAACAUCUUGCACGCAAUGAUAUUUUUAUAUAUCUUUAUUUUUUUUUCGUAAUAACUCUGCGAAAAAGCAUACCGUUUUUCUAAAACGAUGUUAUAUGAAAUGUGCAAGCUUUUGAAUCAGUAUGCUCCGAAGGUUUUUUGCUUGUCUGUAAUUAAUACUUCGAUAAGAAGAGGAAAGAGGUUAAACACGGUUAAAUAACGUUCUAAUAUUUCAACGAAUCGAGGAUAUCAUUAAUUGUGAGCGAUAAGGAUUAAUAAGGGGAUCUUGAUAAGGGGAUCUAACAGUAAUGGUUCUUAAAACAAACAUAUUGGAUGUCGAGACAAGCUAAAUAAGGAAGCCAAUUGCGAGGACUGCAUAAUGUGAACACCGGCGGCUAAUUAACGAAGUAAUACUGUGUAUACCGUCUCAACUUGGCUACAGCUUAUUCCAAUAUAUAGGUCUCGUGAAAAUAGAGGAGUUGUUGCACGCAUAGCGAUGCUCAUAGCCUGUGCAUAGUUUAAACAAAAACAAUAUCUCUAAUGUAUAUAUGAUGAAAUGGAUAAACGAUCAAUAAACCUGUCAAUUGUCUGUUGA